rnacentral:rRNA from 1 species
AUUGAACGCUGGCGGCGUGCUUAACACAUGCAAGUCUAUCGGUAACAGGUGUAGCAAUACAUGCUGACGAGAGUCGGACGGGUGAGGAAUAUUUGGGAAUCUGCCCAUUAGCGGGGGACAACCCGGGGAAACUCGGGCUAAUACCGCAUACGCUCUACGGAGGAAAGCCGGGUACCGCAAGGCCUGGCACUGAUUGAUGAGCCCAAAUCGGAUUAGCUAGUUGGCGGGGUAACGGCCCACCAAGGCGACGAGCCGUAGCUGGUCUGAGAGGACGACCAGCCACACCGGAACUGAGACACGGUCCGGACUCCUACGGGAGGCAGCAGUGGGGAAUAUUGGACAAUGGGGGAAACCCUGAUCCAGCGACGCCGCGUGGGUGAAGAAGGCCUGCGGGUUGUAAAGCCCUUUCGGCAGGGAAGAAAUCUCUUGUCUUAACACGGCAAGGGUUUGACUUAACCUACAUAAGAAGCACCGGCUAACUCUGUGCCAGCCGCCGCCGUAA